GAAGUACUCCCUCCGUCCGAAAAAGCUUGUCCCAAGCUUGUCCCUCAAAUGGAUGUAUCUAGCCUCCAUCCGAAAAAGCUUGUCGGAUAGAUACAUCCAUUUGAGGGACAAGCUUGGGACAAGCUUUUUCGGACUGAGGGAGUAUAUC
rfam:Triticum aestivum genome assembly, contig: Triticum_aestivum_CS42_TGACv1_scaffold_405725_5BL